ACAGGCACUGGGUGAGACUGGUUUGUACUGGUUUGUACUGGGAGGGGAUUUGGGGGGAAAAUUGGGUGAAAAACGGUGAAAAAAUGGGAAAAAAAGGGUUAAAAAUGGGUUAAAUGGGAUUGGGGUUACUGGUUUGGACUGGGAGGGACUGGGAGAGGAUCGGGGGGAAACUGGGAGUUACUGGUUUGGACUGGGAGGGACUGGGAGAGGAUCGGGGGGAAAAAUGGCGGAAAAAUGGGGAUUUUGGAUACUGGUCCAUACUGGUUGAUACUGAUCCAUACUGGUUUAUACUGGUUUAUACUGGUCCAUACUGGUCCAUACCAGUCCAUACUGGUCCAUACUGGUUUAUACUGGUUUCAGGGCUGCUGGCGGCGCUGGGGCCCCAGGUGGGGGAGGGGCUGCUGGAGCUGCUGGACCGGGCGCUGGGAUUGGCCGAGGGCGACAGCGACGGGACGCGGGUCAGUUUGCAGCUGCUCUCGGCCGUCUCGGAGCUGUUGGGGGAGGGGACGGCGCCGCUGCUGCCUCGGGCACUUCCGGUCCUGCAGGGUGCGCUGCGGCCCCCGCCUCCGCCCCCCUCGGACGCUCCCCAUUGGCUGCUGAAUCUCCACGACGACGAUGAGAACGAUGACAUCACCGCCAUGGAAGAGGAUGACGUCACCGACUGGGAGCAGGCAGAAGUGGGCGGAGCUUUCCCCGGAUUGGCGGAAGCGGCGCUGGGAGCACUGGGAGAACUGGCGGAGAACUGCGGCUCUGCUCUCCUCCCAUACCUGGAUCCCCUCCUUGCCGCUGUCCUGGAUCUGACCCAGUUCCCCCAGUCCGAGGUCAGAGGCGCCGCCUACGAAGCCCUUGGGAGCCUGUGCUGCUGCGGGAGGGACGCCCAAACUGAUCGCCUGCCUGAGAUCGCGCCGGGACGACGGCGACGAGACCUCCCAAGUCUCCGAACUCCGCGAAUCCGCCUCCGAUUGGCUGCUGCAGCUGGGCGCUGCCAUGGCAGGAAAUGACGUCACCCAGAACGGAAAUGACGUCACCCAGACAGGAAAUGACGCGUUUUUCCCGCCCCACCUCUUCCGCCGGAUCCUCCCCUCGCUAUUGGCCCAUCUGGCCGACCCCGCCCACCCGGGGGCGCGCUCCUGGGCGGGCGCCGUGAUUGGCCAGCUGGGCCACGCCCUCGGUCCCGGGGCCACGCCCUUUUUGCCAAAUUUGGGAAGCGCCUUCAGAUUGGCCGUCACGGACCCCGAGCCGGAAGUGAGAGCCAACGCCUUCUACGCCAUUGGUCGGAUCGGGGAGGCCGUGGGACACGCCCACCACGAGUAUCCACCAAUCACCGGGCCGGGUUCGGUAUGGCCACGCCCAUUCGGGUUAAGCCACGCCCAUAACGGCACCUUGAAUGGGUUUACGCUCGGCCCACAAGGGUGUAGCCCUGCCCACAUCUCCAUACAUGGCGUGAAGCUCCUCCCACAGAGUUUAAGCCACGCCCUUGUUUUUAAGCCUGGUUUAAGUUGCCAUAAAAGGGCAUGGGGGGCGUCCUAUUCAUUCUGGACCCCGCCCACAACCCCAUAAAAGGAUGUGAACCACGCCCAUCACUCUCAAGCCCCGCCCACAAUGCUAUUAAAUUAUUUAGACCCCGUCCAUCAACUUUAAGCCCCUCCCACAACUCCAUAAAGAAUUUGAAUCCGUCCCACCAUUUUUAAACCCCGCCCCAUUCCCAUAUAAGGAUUUAAACUCCGCCCACACCUCAAACCGGGGGGGGGGGGGGGGGGGGGGGGGGGGGGGGGGGGGGGGGGGGGGGGGGGGGGGGGGGGGGGGGGGGGGGG
ensembl:lncRNA